UGCAGUCGAGCGGAUGAAGGGAGCUUGCUCCUGGAUUCAGCGGCGGACGGGUGAGUAAUGCCUAGGAAUCUGCCUGGUAGUGGGGGAUAACGUCCGGAAACGGGCGCUAAUACCGCAUACGUCCUGAGGGAGAAAGUGGGGGAUCUUCGGACCUCACGCUAUCAGAUGAGCCUAGGUCGGAUUAGCUAGUUGGUGGGGUAAAGGCCUACCAAGGCGACGAUCCGUAACUGGUCUGAGAGGAUGAUCAGUCACACUGGAACUGAGACACGGUCCAGACUCCUACGGGAGGCAGCAGUGGGGAAUAUUGGACAAUGGGCGAAAGCCUGAUCCAGCCAUGCCGCGUGUGUGAAGAAGGUCUUCGGAUUGUAAAGCACUUUAAGUUGGGAGGAAGGGCAGUAAGUUAAUACCUUGCUGUUUUGACGUUACCAACAGAAUAAGCACCGGCUAACUUCGUGCCAGCAGCCGCGGUAAUACGAAGGGUGCAAGCGUUAAUCGGAAUUACUGGGCGUAAAGCGCGCGUAGGUGGUUCAGCAAGUUGGAUGUGAAAUCCCCGGGCUCAACCUGGGAACUGCAUCCAAAACUACUGAGCUAGAGUACGGUAGAGGGUGGUGGAAUUUCCUGUGUAGCGGUGAAAUGCGUAGAUAUAGGAAGGAACACCAGUGGCGAAGGCGACCACCUGGACUGAUACUGACACUGAGGUGCGAAAG
rnacentral:rRNA from 1 species